ACUGGAGGAACUGACCAAUCAGAAUUGGCAUUUUACUGGCAAAUCACCUCUAUUACUGAAGUACAUGCACUGAAUUGCUGUCUGGUAGCGCCCCCUACAGUACAGGGAGGAAUUACAAGUUCUGUACUACUCCUUACCUGUGCCAGGGUUAGCUGCUCCUUUGGACACCAGGACUGCAAGUAAAGCUUCUAGAGUUAUCCUGAAACAUAUACAUAGCAUCUGUAGCCUUUACGGGACUAGGACUGCAGCCAAAACCUGCUAGAGUUAUUCAGAAACACAUAUGGAG